AACCUUAUGGACCUGCGGGCGUAUACCUGCGGAGGGAUCAUUACAUUCAGUAGCCUAGCUACUUGUUUACACCCUUGUUUUUUUGCGCACUUCAUUGUAUCCCUCGGCGGGCUUGCUCGCCGGUUGGACAACAUUUAUAACCUUUUUUAAUCUUCAAUCAGCGUCUGAAUUAUAUUUAAUAAUUACAACUUUCAGCAACGGAUCU
rnacentral:misc_RNA from 1 species